CACGGGUGCGUAACGCGUAUGCAAUCUACCUUUUACAGAGGGAUAGCCCAGAGAAAUUUGGAUUAAUACCUCAUAGUGUAUUGAGUUGGCAUCAACUUAAUACUAAAGUCACAACGGUAAAAGAUGAGCAUGCGUCCCAUUAGCUAGUUGGUAAGGUAACGGCUUACCAAGGCAACGAUGGGUAGGGGUCCUGAGAGGGAGAUCCCCCACACUGGUACUGAGACACGGACCAGACUCCUACGGGAGGCAGCAGUGAGGAAUAUUGGUCAAUGGACGCAAGUCUGAACCAGCCAUGCCGCGUGCAGGAUGACGGUCCUAUGGAUUGUAAACUGCUUUUGUACAGGAAGAAACAGUUCUACGUGUAGAACCUUGACGGUACUGUAAGAAUAAGGAUCGGCUAACUCCGUGCCAGCAGCCGCGGUAAUACGGAGGAUCCAAGCGUUAUCCGGAAUCAUUGGGUUUAAAGGGUCCGUAGGCGGGUUAAUAAGUCAGUGGUGAAAGCCCAUCGCUCAACGAUGGAACGGCCAUUGAUACUGUUAGUCUUGAAUUAUUAGGAAGUAACUAGAAUAUGUAGUGUAGCGGUGAAAUGCUUAGAGAUUACAUGGAAUACCAAUUGCGAAGGCAGGUUACUACUAAUGGAUUGACGCUGAUGGACGAAAGCGUGGGUAGCGAACAGGAUUAGAUACCCUGGUAGUCCACGCCGUAAACGAUGGAUACUAGCUGUUCNGAGCAAUCUGAGUGGCUAAGCGAAAGUGAUAAGUAUCCCACCUGGGGAGUACGUUCGCA
rnacentral:rRNA from 1 species